UCUACAAUCCUCUUGUCAGUACUUUCUCGAGCAUUGGUCGUUCCCCCCAAACCUGUAAGGUGAGAUACUAAAACCCUAAUGGGUUCACUAAACCAGACAUCUCCUAGCUCACAAAACUUGAUCAUCUCAGUCGAUCUGUUAAACCCUAGUGAAUCAAUCAACUUUCUUGUUUACGGUGUCUAUGCCUCUCUUCUUUUAGGUGAAUUGCGGUGGAAAUUGGCAGCUUAACUUAGAACCACAUUGGAUCAUUCUCGCGGGUCAUCCUCCACUUUUUUGCUAGUCUUCUUAACAACCUUCUUCAAUGCCUAACACUUCGGCUUUCUUCAAUGCCCAACAAGGAUGGAGAAUUGAAGAAAGCCAAAAUGCCCAAGAAGUUUUGAAGAAGUCAAGCAAAAAAGUGGAGGAAGUGUGCAAAGUAGCGUGGCGACCAUGGUUUUUAAAAGCGUACGCUUCACGCUUCGGAGCGUACGCUUCGCUUCAAAUUUCAUCAUUUCGUUUCAAAGCGGUCAUGUGAAGCGCAUCUUUCAUGAAGCGUAUGCUUCACGCUUACACUUCGCUUCAAAUUUCAGCAUUUCGCUGCGAAGCAGUCAUGUGAAGCUCAUGUUUUAAGGGGAAUUGAACACCCCGCCUCCCACUCGUCUGGAGUAGGUUGAACUGGUGUACACACGCUUUGUUUUUGAUAAAAAUUAGACUUAUAUAAAAUUUAUAUAGAUAUUAUCUUCCUAAUAAAUUUAUAAUUACUAGUUAUGACUAAUUUAUUUAUAAGAAAGGAUCCACUUCGAACAUAAACCAUGAAGCAACGCUUCACGCUUCGACAUACGCAUCGCUUCCUAAAAAUGAGAAACGCUUCACGCUUUCAAUACCUUGGUGGCGACCAAGUGUGAUAUAGAAGCUCCUGAGCUGUUGCAGUGUUAGAUGUUAGUUGUAUGUAUGCUUUUUUAUUCUCUCCCAAAAGAAAAUUAUGUGUCCACCAGCCACUCGCCUCAUACAUGUUGACAAGAAGAAGAAUACAGAGUGUAGUUAGUUAGUGUUUAGCAACUAUGAUUAGUACAUGUGUACAGAGGCAUUCGUAAUAUCACAUUCACCUGCAGCAGAAUGGUAAAAUUCUUUAUGUAAAGUUCCAAGUACCGACCAAUAAAGACACAAAUUUACGCUCUUCCAGUCAGUAAUUUGCCGAAUCCCGAGCAUUGGCAUUUCCCUCCAAACCGCAAGGUUUUGAGAAAUGAAGGUGCCCCUCAAUCAAGUAUUGUCAUAUUCUAAGUUAACCAACCAUGGUUGCUUUCUAUCAGCACUGAUAAAUUCACGGAGAGAUAGUAGAAGAUAUUAAGGGUCUUUUUGGCUUUCGGCAACUGUCAUGGACCGCGAAAAGUAACACGCUGCAGGAGAAGGGUUGUACAUUUUUGGCUGAUUCCAAAAUCGAUCCUACAACCCAACACAAUGAGUAAGAUUGCCGCCAACAGAUAAAUUCUUCAUUUUGCGGAUAUCCAAAUACAACGGUGAGUUGGCCAUGAAGUUGUCACACGAGAUAUUCCUGCCUUCUUUAGAAACCCCAUUAAGGUAAUUUGGUACAUGAAGCUAUCUAUCGAGGUUGCAAAGAGCAGUUCCACAUGUUCUGGACCUUCUCAGAUGAUUCGCUUUGGUGCACAUUUAGUGCUUGUUCUUCUUAGAUAUGUCUUGGCUGGUGAAAUGAGAGAUACUUGCAGACAGAAGCUUAAGAGUGUUGGUGACAUCAUUCUCCAGAUGUGAGUAUUCAUGGGUCGACAGUUUGGGUAGCCCUUCAUUCAUGGGUAGAUGGCAGAUGGUUCAGGGAUUGGAUUAUUAGCAUUGGUCUUCAAGUAUCGGUUGUGUGUCCUUAGUAUGCUACAAAGACAAUGGCUACAGGACCAAAAAGUCUGAAAUUCAAAAACAUUUUUGAUUGUGGACAUACAUAUAAGCAGCUAGAAUGAGUAACGGCUUCUGUAAUGUAGUAGUCACAACACUAUUUUUCGAUAUAUAAGAAUAAAUAAGAAGCCUUCAGUUAUGCUUCA